rnacentral:rRNA from 1 species
GGUUUCCGUAGGUGAACCUGCGGAAGGAUCAUUGCACACACGAGUUGCAGCCAACCCGCGGCGAACGAACACACUGUCCCCCCCCUUCGGCGGGUCGCGGCGCCUCGCGGCGUCGCGGCCGGCCACCUCCCUUCGUCGUCGUCCCGAGCGAGCUACGCGCUCGUUCGCGGCGCGGCGCGGGGUGUUCACCACGAUGCGUCCACCGAAUGACUGAGUCCCGAAUCGACUUGAGAGAGUGAGCGAGCUCCGCGCCCCCCACCCCCUUCGGGGUGGGUGGCCGGCGCUGGUUACACCUUUUGCGAGUUGGAACACACAAUCGAAACAACUCUCAGCAACGGAUAUCUUGGCUCUUGCAACGAUGAAGAACGCAGCGAAAUGCGAUACGUAGUGUGAAUUGCAGAAUUCCGCGAAUCAUCGAGUCUUUGAACGCAAGUUGCGCCCGAGGCUUGUCCAAGGGCAUUUCCGCUAGAGCGUCACCGCGCCCCCCCACCGACCCACCCACUCCGGUGGUCGAGUGAAAGUGGCCGUCCCAGCGAGGCCCCUCCGUCAGAAGAGGGGAGUCCCGAAGGGUCGGCUGAAAUGGAAGGAAUCGUGCCGCCGUGGCGACCCAGUCCGCGAUCGGGUGAUCCGGACUCCCUUCGCGAGUCCGGAGUUUUCUAAGUGCGUGGCUGCGUCCCCCAGUCGGUUUGUGGUUGCCUCACGCAGGUCGAGCGCGCGUCCCCCGCGGCGCGCGCUCGUCACGCAUCAGACCUCUAAUCGGAAAAGACUACCCGCUGAG